rnacentral:lncRNA from 1 species
GUAUAGUCAAUGCUUGAACUUUCGUUUUCCAAAUUCCUUGCAUGAGAUCGAGUCAUGCAUCCUUCCUUUUCUCUACCACUCCAUUACUAUUCUCCGUCUUCUUCAAUGAAAACGAAAAGGCCAAAAUUCAGAGGGGGAAACCAAAAAACACACAUUAUGCACCCAGAAACUCUUCUGCUGCUUCCCUUCAUCCUUCUCUUGCUUCUAGCAUGCAUACUCCCUUCUCUAUCCGACGCAAAGAACUACUACCGAUACACCGAUUGCGCUCCGACGAACUACACUUGCGGGACGAUGAAGUUCACCGUUGGCUACCCGUUUCAGUUCGGCACCGCCCGACCAGACUACUGCCGAUAUCCGGGGUACUACCUCACUUGCACCGAUGACACCCUUCUGAUCAACAUCGACGAUGGAAUGAAGCCCUUCCAAGUGAAGAACAUCGACUACGGGAACCACCUCCUCACGCUCGUCGACCUGAAUUUUUCUGCCGAAACAUGCCCUCUACCAAACUACAACGUCACCAUCAACACCACCAUCUUUGAUUACAACGACCGCAAUACGAUGAUGACCAUAUACAACUGCAGUACUCUGCAAACACCCUUGCCUGCAGCCGACAUAUAUAAAAUCCCAUGUGCAGAGGAAAUAUCCGGGCAGUACUAUUAUUAUCGACUAAAUGACAAGGAUAGUGUGUUUGGGAAUUGCAUUUUGCUAUCGCAAGUUCUGGUGCAGAUAUCGGCGGCAAAUCAGUUGCUUGGUGAGAGUUUGAGCUUCGGAGAAGCGCUGAAUGAGGGUUUCAUGCUGCGGUGGACGGCGGGGAAGGGGUGGUGCAGUGACUGCAUAAGCUCUGGCGGGAACUGCGGGUAUAACACGGUCGCGCGGGACCAGCAAACCUGCUACUGCCCGGCCGGGACGGCUAUCGGAAAUUGCUCCCCAACAGGUACACCGAAUUAUGCUUCAUGCGAUAGCGCUUACCUGUUUGAACCUACCGCGCGAUUUGGUGUUGCUCGACCGAGUACCGCUUGCUUGAGUAGUACUUUUACGAACAGCGCCGGGCUAAAGUAUUUUUAGGUGCUUCUCUCAAUCGCAAAAUUACAAGUUUCAAAUGUUUUUUGCACGUCACGAUAGAAGCAAAAAUAGUCCCAAUCGACAGCAGAAGCAAAAAUAAAGCCAAAAAGGCACAGAUUCCGUUCUAGAGUCUUGGUUGCAAAUUGUUUCUUUCUCAAAUUUGCCGUUCAGGUGAAAAAUUCGGGUCUUAAAGAGAGAGAGAGAGAAAACUAAUUAAUGAGAUCAUGGGGCUAUUCUCUUGUUUUAGAUACAGGGGAGCACGAAUCAAGGUUUAAUUAUAGUUGCUCUAGUUAGUUAGCACAUAACUUUGGAUAAUUUUCUAUCAGAUUGAUUUUUUCGUUAACAAGAUAUUAGAAUCAGUCCCAAUCCAUCCUGCUUAACCCCUAUUUAACGCGUUUGUUAGUCACCACUUCUGUCAUUCAUCUCCUAUCAACUGUGGGGGGCAAAUUGAAGUUUACUCUUUUCUUUUCUUUUUUUUUCUUUUUUUUGAAGGAGCUUAAUAGGAGGCAACUUGACAUAGUAUUAUUGCACGUAAUUAAUGAAAGACCCCUUGGAUUUUGAGAAAUAUGAACCUAUUAUCUCAAAAUUCAAUAUUUCAAAAUGUUAACCAUUUAUAUUUAUACAUAUACAUUAUUUCUCAUAAACUUUUGUCACAUGACAGUACCAUAGUCUCUUCUUCUUAAAAUUUCUACUCUCCAAUCAUUGCGACCGCUCACCUUCCGCGUAACGUCUGCCUCUUCGGCUUUCCGUCUCAUUAAUUUCUUCUCUGUAAUGUCUGCCUCUUCGGCUUCCCGUCUAAUUAAUUCCUUCCCCGUAACAUAUGCCUCUUCGGCUUUCGGUCUCAUUAAUUCCUUAUUUGUGACGUCGCUGUUUCGACUUUCCGUCUCAUUAGUUUUUAUUUUUUAAGAGGCGUUGUCUGAGGAGCCCGUGGACACCACAUACGGCGUCCUUGACAACAACCUCGCCAAUAGUUUAUAAAAUUGGAAUUCUGAAUAUAUAUUUAUUAGGUUACUCAUUUUCAUUUCACUUUCUUUCUUUUUAUUGCUACUGUAGUAACUAAGCUCCCUCCUUCUCUUUUUCUAAAAUCUCAACUCUUUCUAACCUCACUCUAUUUCUCUUCCUAUUUCUUUAAUUAUGCUCUUUCUCUAUCUAACCUAUGCUCUCUCUUCUUUUUUUUCUAGAAAGAUGUUGAAAUUUUUUAUGACAUUAUCUAAAAUUAAUUAACGAAAGAAAUAAAUUAAUUAUAUAUUUUUCGUAAUCUUAAAUAACAUGACUAAAUAAUAUGAUCGUACGAACCAAACGCCGAAAUGCCAUAUUGUUAGUAAUAGAAUGAAUAGGAAUAAGAUUCUCGGAUAUUUUUUUACUUUUAGUAAUUUUUUAUAGUGCGAACCAAACGCGCCCUUAAUGUGUCCUUUCGCCGCCAUUGGAUGGCCGCAUGUGGUCAUAUUAUUGCAUCCCGUCGCGAAGCGCGGUCGGUGGGUUAUUUCACUAGUGUAGUUAGAAUAGUAUAGUCAAUGCAUGAACUUUCGUUUUCCAAAUUCCUUGCAUGAGAUCGAGUCAUGCAUCCUUCCUUUUCUCUACCACUCCAUUACUAUUCUCCCUCUUCUUCAAUGAAAACGAAAAGGCCAAAAUUCGGAGGGGAAACCAAAAAACACACAUUAUGCACCCUGCAGAAACUCUUCCGCUGCUUCCCUUCAUCCUUCUCCUGCUUCUAGCAUGCAUACUCCCUUCUCUAUCCGAUGCGGAGAACUACUACCGAUACACCGAUUGCGCUCCGAAGAAUUACACUUGCGGGACGAUGAAUUUCACCGUUGGCUACCCAUUUCAGAUCGGUAUCGACCGACCAGACUACUGCCGAUAUCCGGGGUACUACCUCACUUGCACUGGUAACGGCACCCUUCUGAUCAACAUCGACGACGGAAUGAUGCCCUUCCAAGUGAAGAACAUCGACUAUGGGAACGACCUCCUCACGAUGGUCGACCCGAAUUUUGCUGCCGCAGCAUGCCCUCUACCAAACUAUAACUUCACCAUCAACACCACCAUCUUUGAUUACAACGACCGCAAUACGAUGAUGAUCAUAUACAACUGCAGUACUCCGCAAACAUCCUUGCCUUCCGGCAUAUAUUCAGUCCCAUGUGCGGAGGAAAAGUCCGGGCAGUACUAUUAUUAUCGACUAAACGACGAGGAUAGUGUGUUUGGGAAUUGCGAUUCGGUGUCGCAAGUUCUGGUGCAGAUAUCGGCGGCAUAUCUGUUUAGUCAUGGAAAUUUGAGCUUCGAAGACGUGAUGAACGAGGGUUUCAUGCUGCGGUGGACGGCGGGGAAGGGGUGGUGCAGUGACUGCGUAAGCUCUGGCGGGAACUGCGGGUAUAACACGGUCGCGCGGGACGAGCAAACCUGCUACUGCCCUAGCGGGACCGCUAUCGGAAAUUGCCCCCCAACAGGUACACAGAAUUAUGCUUCAUGCGAUCGAUAGCGCUUACCUGUUUGAACCUACCGCGCGAUUUGGUGUUGCUCGACCGAGUACCGCUU